rnacentral:rRNA from 2 species
GGGGAAUAUUGCACAAUGGGGGAAACCCUGAUGCAGCAACGCCGCGUGAAGGAUGAAGGUUUUCGGAUUGUAAACUUCUUUAGUCAGGGACGAAUAAAUGACGGUACCUGAAGAAUAAGCCACGGCUAACUACGUGCCAGCAGCCGCGGUAAUACGUAGGUGGCGAGCGUUGUCCGGAUUUACUGGGUGUAAAGGGUGCGUAGGCGGCCCUGCAAGUCAGGCGUGAAAGGCGGAGGCUUAACCUCCGAGCUGCGUUUGAAACUGCGGGGCUUGAGUGGAGCAGAGGCAGGCGGAAUUCCCGGUGUAGCGGUGAAAUGCGUAGAGAUCGGGAGGAACACCAGUGGCGAAGGCGGCUUUCUGGACUGUAACUGACACUGAGGCAUGAAAGCGUGGGUAGCAAACA